rnacentral:rRNA from 1 species
GACGAACGCUGGCGGCGUGCUUAACACAUGCAAGUCGAACGGAAAGGCCCUGCUUUUGUGGGGUGCUCGAGUGGCGAACGGGUGAGUAACACGUGAGUAACCUGCCCUUGACUUUGGGAUAACUUCAGGAAACUGGGGCUAAUACCGGAUAGGAGCUCCUGCUGCAUGGUGGGGGUUGGAAAGUUUCGGCGGUUGGGGAUGGACUCGCGGCUUAUCAGCUUGUUGGUGGGGUAGUGGCUUACCAAGGCUUUGACGGGUAGCCGGCCUGAGAGGGUGACCGGCCACAUUGGGACUGAGAUACGGCCCAGACUCCUACGGGAGGCAGCAGUGGGGAAUAUUGCACAAUGGGCGGAAGCCUGAUGCAGCAACGCCGCGUGCGGGAUGACGGCCUUCGGGUUGUAAACCGCUUUCGCCUGUGACGAAGCGUGAGUGACGGUAAUGGGUAAAGAAGCACCGGCUAACUACGUGCCAGCAGCCGCGGUGAUACGUAGGGUGCGAGCGUUGUCCGGAUUUAUUGGGCGUAAAGGGCUCGUAGGUGGUUGAUCGCGUCGGAAGUGUAAUCUUGGGGCUUAACCCUGAGCGUGCUUUCGAUACGGGUUGACUUGAGGAAGGUAGGGGAGAAUGGAAUUCCUGGUGGAGCGGUGGAAUGCGCAGAUAUCAGGAGGAACACCAGUGGCGAAGGCGGUUCUCUGGGCCUUUCCUGACGCUGAGGAGCGAAAGCGUGGGGAGCGAACAGGCUUAGAUACCCUGGUAGUCCACGCUGUAAACGGUGGGUACUAGGUGUGGGGUCCAUUCCACGGGUUCCGUGCCGUAGCUAGCGCUUUAAGUACCCCGCCUGGGGAGUACGGCCGCAAGGCUAAAACUCAAAGGAAUUGACGGGGCCCCGCACAAGCGGCGGAGCAUGCGGAUUAAUUCGAUGCAACGCGUAGAACCUUACCUGGGUUUGACAUGGAUCGGGAGUGCUCAGAGAUGGGUGUGCCUCUUUUGGGGUCGGUUCACAGGUGGUGCAUGCCUGUCGUCAGCUCGUGUCGUGAGAUGUUGGGUUAAGUCCCGCAACGAGCGCAACCCUUGUUCACUGUUGCCAGCACGUUAUGGUGGGGACUCAGUGGAGACCGCCGGGGUCAACUCGGAGGAAGGUGGGGAUGACGUCAAGUCCUCAUGCCCCUUAUGUCCAGGGCUUCACGCAUGCUACAAUGGCUGGUACAGAGAGUGGCGAGCCUGUGAGGGUGAGCGAAUCUCGGAAAGCCGGUCUCAGUUCGGAUUGGGGUCUGCAACUCGACCUCAUGAAGUCGGAGUCGCUAGUAAUCGCAGAUCAGCAACGCUGCGGUGAAUACGUUCCCGGGGCU